UACGUAGGGUGCGAGCGUUGUCCGGAAUUACUGGGCGUAAAGAGCUCGUAGGUGGUUUGUCGCGUUGUUCGUGAAAACCGGGGGCUUAACCCUCGGCGUGCGGGCGAUACGGGCAGACUUGAGUACUGCAGGGGAGACUGGAAUUCCUGGUGUAGCGGUGGAAUGCGCAGAUAUCAGGAGGAACACCGGUGGCGUAGGCGGGUCUCUGGGCAGUAACUGACGCUGAGGAGCGAAAGCGUGGGGAGCGAACAGG
rnacentral:rRNA from 1 species